CUCCGGGAAACCGGAGCUAAUACCGGAUAGUUCCUUGAACCGCAUGGUUCAAGGAUGAAAGACGGUUUCGGCUGUCACUUACAGAUGGACCCGCGGCGCAUUAGCUAGUUGGUGGGGUAAUGGCUCACCAAGGCGACGAUGCGUAGCCGACCUGAGAGGGUGAUCGGCCACACUGGGACUGAGACACGGCCCAGACUCCUACGGGAGGCAGCAGUAGGGAAUCUUCCGCAAUGGACGAAAGUCUGACGGAGCAACGCCGCGUGAGUGAUGAAGGUUUUCGGAUCGUAAAGCUCUGUUGUUAGGGAAGAACAAGUGCGAGAGUAACUGCUCGCACCUUGACGGUACCUAACCAGAAAGCCACGGCUAACUACGUGCCAGCAGCCGCGGUAAUACGUAGGUGGCAAGCGUUGUCCGGAAUUAUUGGGCGUAAAGGGCUCGCAGGCGGUUUCUUAAGUCUGAUGUGAAAGCCCCCGGCUCAACCGGGGAGGGUCAUUGGAAACUGGGAAACUUGAGUGCAGAAGAGGAGAGUGGAAUUCCACGUGUAGCGGUGAAAUGCGUAGAGAUGUGGAGGAACACCAGUGGCGAAGGCGACUCUCUGGUCUGUAACU
rnacentral:rRNA from 1 species